UUGUCAGAGUCUGGACCCAGUGUUGUGACUUGGAUUGGCCCAUACAACAUAGUGAAGCUCUGUGGGAUUAUACUGCUCUACAGCUCCCUGCUCCUUCUGGAAUGCUGGUUUAGAUCAACUUGUGUCAAGAAACAGGAACAGAGCCCAGAGGCAGCAGCACAUGUCAAUCGUGCCUUUGCAAAUCCAGCCUAUGUAAUCCCUCUGUCGUCCAUC